UGCUCCCAAAUACUGCAGUGGAUGCGACAUGCAAGACCUGCCCUGGAGCUCACAGUAUUUCAUAGACUGGAAAUGCCGACAGGAUUAGACGUUUUGUGCCUAGAACUGUUCAACAUUUGGAGCAAAUCUGAGUGAAGAGACCAGAUUACCUUCCAGAAAUUUGGUGCCAGCAAAGAACAAGUGUCAGCAAUUUUGAGAGGGACUUGAAGACAUCAGGAAUGGAUUCUUUGGACUAUGUAACAGUAUCUGAUUCAGCUAUGGAAAUUGAAAAUCAAAGUGAUAACUCUUCCUCUGGUAGCAGCUUAUUUAAAACUCAAUGUGUUCCUUCCUCACCUAAACGGAGGCAAAGAAAUCCUAUUAGAAAAUGUGUUCAUUCACUUGAAAGUGUUCAAGCAAGCGAUUCAUCCAGUGACUCAUCUUUAGAACCAAGACCAUUGACUUUAAAAGCUAUUUUUGAAAGAUUCAAGAAAAAGAAACGUAAAAAGAAGAAAUACAAGCCAACAGGAAGACCAAGGGGAAGACCAAAAGGAAGGAAAAACACUAGGUCACGAAUAAAUAAGAAACAAUUUAAGGAUAAAAGACCUCAGUUCCCAUUUAUAGAAUCAGAGAAUGGAAGAAAACCAAUACCAUGGAGAAAAAUUUUAACCUUUGAGCAAGCAGUAGCAAGAGGAUUUUUUAACUACCUUGAAAAACUGAAGUAUGAAUACCACCUCAGGGAAUCCUUGAAACAGAUGAAUGUUGGUGAAGAUUUAGAAAAAGAAGACCUCGAUAGUCGUAGAUAUAAGUACUUGGAUGACGAUGGAUCGAUCUCUCCUAUUGAAGAGUCAGCAGGAGAGGACGAAUUUCCAACAAAUCCUGAUCAUGAUGACGAAUGUGAUAUCAAAUUGGUGGAGAAUAAUUAUUUCAUAAUAAGUUCUGAAUUACCAAAGAAGAUGAAUGUAUAUUUAGAACAAGAAUAUACUGAAGAACCUGCUUUGUCUAAAAAGAGAGUAUCAAAGUCCAAAACAUUGGACAGAAGACAGAAUGACCUGAAAAGGAGAUAGGAAUAUGAAUGUCAAGGGUUUUAUCUUGAGAACACAAUAUCUGGACUUAUGUCUUAUUCUUUAGGUAUUUGUAUAUCCUGGAGAUCUGUACUAUUCUAGGGAGUGAUAGCUUAGGUAAGUUUUUAAUUGAUGACAGUGCAACCUUAGGGUACCUCUGCAGUUCAGAUGAUGAAUUUAUCUGUUCAACUGCUGAAUGAUACAGACAUGAACUAAAACAUAAUUCUGACAGCUGAAUAUAGCUCUAUAUAGGUUUUCGUUUUUAAUCACACACUCGUCAAUCUUUUAUUUGGUGUUUUAUCUGUAGGAAUGAAAGGAUUUGAACUUUCUCAUGUUUAGAGGUAAGUGGAACAUAUUUCUAUUCAUUUAUUAAGGAUUCGGAGUGCAAGUUGUAAGACCUCACUUAAGAGUGUUGAUGCUUCUGCGACUUGAAGUGAAAAGAUGUAGGAGGAAGCCAGUUUGACCACAGGCUAAUUGAUAAGAGUUCCUGUGGCAUCUCAACUUUCUAACACAUUGAACAAAAGGAUGUUAUUCAACGACUGCUGUACAACAUUCCAUUACUGUUGUGACUAAUAGCUGUUUAGGUAUAAAGCAGAAUUGUCAAAAUCUUGGUGAAAAUGUUUGCCAUAACUGUGUUUGUAUACAGAAUGUUGAAAAAAAUGGAGACUUACUAACAGUUCCAUAUGGUUCAUCCUAAUAACAUAGACUUGGAUACAUUAAAAUAGCAAAGGAGUUCCACCUAAUAGGAACAAUUUGAACAACUGAUCUUUAUUUCUAGUGCAGAGGGAGACAGGAUAAAGAUAAUGACUAGGUAUAUAGUUUAUUGCAUUAAUGUGGCUGCUUCAUUGAAAUGACAACUAGGUUUUUAAAUUUUAUUUAUCUUUAUUGAAAGUACUACAGAUGUCCCCUUUUUCCCCCUUGAGCCUCCCACCCAGAUCCCCUUAGGCCUUCACCACACUAUUGUCUGUGUCCAUGGGUGAUGCAUAUACAUAAAUAAGUUCUUUAGUUAAUCUCUUCCCACCCCUGCCCCCUCUCAGAUCUGUCAGCCUGUUCCAUGCUUCUAUGUCUCUGGAUCUAUCACAGUUGGAGAUACUUGAAAUAGAGGUGUUUAUAGUUCAGUCACAAUGCACUGCAUGGUAUCUGCAUUCAGUAGUUUAUUCCUGCUGGGUGUUCAAAGGACAGUGCGAUAUAAACUCAGUAUCUGGCAUCGUUGGUUUUCUUGGCUUUGUGCAUGUUAAACCUGGUAUUUUUAUUGAUACAUUAUUCCUGUAGUUUCUUACUGUUCAGUUAGACAUAGUCUUCUACAGGGACUAAUCCUUCUUUACUGUUCAGUUAGACAUAAUCUUCAAUAGGAACUAAUGCUUGUCUUUUUCUAGGGUGUCCGAAAUUGAGAAACAAGGCAGAUCCAUCUACUCUGACCCUAACUGUGGCCCUAAAGUAAAUUGCUUGAAGAAAGUGGGUCCCAGCGAUUAUAGGACUGACUGAAAUGACAACUGGAUUGAGCAGAAAAGGGAUUGAGACUCAAACUCUGGAGGAACUAAGGCAGUGGAAGAAUUCAGAAUGUGUGAAAUUACUUAAAUAAAAAUUUAUUAACUUAAA